rnacentral:rRNA from 1 species
AUGCCUCACCCCCCUCUCGUCGCCGUCGCCGCCGCCACCCUCCGCCGCCGCCUCCUCCUCUCCUCGCCGCUCGCCUCCUUCUCCUCCUCCCGCACCCGCCGCAUCCUCCCCCGCGCCAUGGAGUCCUCCACCACCGCCGCCGCGGAGCACGCAGGUGGCGCGGCGGCGGGGGAGUACGAGGAGGUGCUGGGGCGCCUCUCCUCGCUCAUCACGCAGAAGGUGCGCGCCGACACCGGCAACCGCGGCAACCAGUGGGACCUCAUGGCCCGCUACCUCCAGAUUCUGGAGCUGGAGGAGCCCAUCGCGCGGAUGAAGGUCAUCCAUGUCGCCGGCACCAAAGGGAAGGGUUCGACAUGCACAUUCACGGAGUCAAUCCUGCGAUCCUGUGGCUUCCGUACCGGGCUAUUCACAUCACCGCAUUUGAUGGAUGUCCGGGAGCGGUUCCGGCUAGAUGGGGUGGAUAUUUCUGAAGAGAAGUUUUUGAAGUACUUCUGGUGCUGCUGGAAUAAACUGAAGGAGAAGACUGAUGAUGAUAUUCCCAUGCCAGCGUAUUUCAGGUUCAUGGCCUUGCUCGCAUUCAAGAUCUUUUCUGCUGAGCAGGUAGAUGUAGCUCUUCUCGAGGUUGGUCUUGGAGGGAAGUUCGAUGCAACUAAUGUGGUUAAAUCUCCUGUAGUCUGUGGAAUAUCCUCUCUUGGAUAUGAUCAUAUGGAAAUUCUUGGAAAUACGCUUGGUGAAAUUGCUGGGGAGAAGGCUGGAAUUUUCAAGAAAGGAGUUCCAGCUUACACUGCUCCACAGCCAGAAGAGGCAAUGGUUGCUCUCAAACGAAGAGCUUCAGAAUUGGGCAUUUCACUCCAAGUCGUUGAUCCUUUGAAGCCACAUCAGUUGAAAGAUCAACAUCUUGGACUGCAAGGUGAACACCAAUAUGAAAAUGCUGGCCUUGCAGUCGCACUCGCUAGUACAUGGCUUGAGAAGCAGGGACACGUGGACAGAAUGCCACUCAACCACACUGAUCCCUUACCAGAUCAGUUCAUUAGAGGGCUGUCAAGUGCUUCUUUGCAAGGCCGAGCGCAAAUUGUUCCAGAUUCACAAGUAAAUUCAGAAGAGAAGGGCCAAGAUAGUUCUUUGGUAUUCUAUUUGGAUGGGGCACACAGCCCUGAAAGUAUGGAAAUAUGUGCGAGGUGGUUUUCCCAUGCUACCAAGGAGCAGUCUCAGACUUGCAGCAAAUCUCGGAAGAUUCUUCUAUUCAACUGCAUGUCUGUGAGAGAUCCUAUGAGAUUGCUUCCACAUCUCGUUGAUACUGCAACUCAAAAUGGGGUGCACUUUGAUCUGGCCCUAUUUGUGCCAAAUCAGUCACAACACAACAAGCUUGGUUCUAAGGCAUCAGCACCUGCUGGUCCUGAGCAAAUUGAUUUGUCAUGGCAGCUAUCUCUCCAAGCAGUGUGGGAGAAAUUACUUCAUGAUGAUAAUAAAGGUUCAAACAGCACGGAUUCUGGCGAGACUAGCCUAGUGUUUGAAUCACUGCCACUAGCAAUUGAGUGGCUAAGGAAAAAUGCGGUAGAGGAUCCAUCCACUUCUUAUCAGGUCCUGGUUACUGGCUCUCUGCAUCUCAUCGGCGAUGUACUGAGGUUGCUCAAGAAGUGA